CUACGGGCGGCUGCAGUGGGGAAUAUUGGACAAUGGGGGAAACCCUGAUCCAGCAAUGCCGCGUGUGUGAAGAAGGCCUGCGGGUUGUAAAGCACUUUCGGUUGGGAGGACUGCUUCUAGCACUAAUAUUGUUGGAAGUUGACGUUACCUUCAGAAGAAGCUCCGGCUAACUCCGUGCCAGCAGCCGCGGUAAUACGGAGGGUGCAAGCGUGAAUCGGAAUUACUGGGCGUAAAGCGCGCGUAGGCGGCUAGAUCAGUCGGGUGUGAAAGCCCCGGGCUUAACCUGGGAACUGCAUCCGAUACUGUCUAGCUUGAGUACAGGAGAGGAGAGUGGAAUUCCACAUGUAGCGGUGAAAUGCGUAGAUAUGUGGAGGAACACCAAUGGCGAAGGCAGCUCUCUGGCCUGAUACUGACGCUGAGGUGCGAAAGCGUGGGGAGCAAACAGGAUUAGAUACCCUCGUAGUC
rnacentral:rRNA from 1 species